AGGUCUUGACAUCCGAUGCUAUUUCUAGAGAUAGAAAGUUACUUCGGUACAUCGGUGACAGGUGGUGCAUGAUUGUCGUCAGCUCGUGUCGUGAGAUGUUGGGUUAAGUCCCGCAACGAGCGCAACCCCUAUUGUUAGUUGCCAUCAUUCAGUUGGGCACUCUAGCGAGACUGCCGGUAAUAAACCGGAGGAAGGUGGGAUGACGUCAAAUCAUCAUGCCCCUUAUGACCUGGGCUACACACGUGCUACAAUGGUUGGUACAACGAGUUGCGAGUCGGUGACGGCGAGCUAAUCUCUUAAAGCCAAUCUCAGUUCGGAUUGUAGGCUGCAACUCGCCUACAUGAAGUCGGAAUCGCUAGUAAUCGCGGAUCAGCACGCCGCGGUGAAUACGUUCCCGGGCCUU
rnacentral:rRNA from 1 species